rnacentral:lncRNA from 1 species
GAUAGUUGUUAGAGAAUAACUAGUACUAAGCAUGACCAUAUGAGAGAUCACUUAGAUUUCUACUCGAUCGUCAGUGAUUGUCUUAAUGCUGUAGUUGUGUGAAUGAUUCUUUGACCUGUGAUGGUAUAACUGCUCGUAGUGAGGCUACUGAAGUUCGACUGACACAUAAACAUGAUCUCAAUGAGUCCUUGUAAUGGAUGUUGGUGACAGUUGGUCCACUAUAAGAAUAGGGUGCGCAUCAAGAUGGAAUCUAUUGAUCUUGAUAGAAAGGAGUAGUUCUAUG